UCCCAAAAGGCUUCCUGGGGUCCCCAGUUUCGCCCCGCGUCCCGCGCGCUAUGUUCCGGGGGAAGCGCGGGAACCGGGUGGGCGCCCUGAAGGAGGGGACUCCCUUCGCGUCCCCGCAGCUCCCAGAGGCGGUGUCUGAGCGGGUUCUGCUUCGGGGCAUCUUUGAGAUCCAGAGGGAAAGCUGUGAUGUGGUGCUGGGAGAGAGGACCCUGUGGUGGCGGCGCAUCCAGCCAGAGCUCCCAGCGGGAGGUUCCAAGUGUCACCCACCAGGCAGGGAAGAGUCCAUAGAACUGGAAGGCAUAUUUUCCGUGAAGCUGAAGCGGCGCUGCUCUGUGAAGCAGUCGGGCCAAGGCACGCUCCUGGGUAUCACCCUUUUCAUCUGCAUGAAGGAGCAGCCAAACAAGCUAAAGGAUUCUACGCUUGAUCUUAUCAACUUGAGUGAAGACCACUGCGACAUAUGGUUCAGAGAGUUCAAGAAAAUUCUGGAAGGUUUCCCAAGCAGGCCUAAGGCGCUAAAGAUCCUCCUCAACCCUCAGAGUCACAGGAAGGAGUCUGUCCAAGUCUACUACGAGAAGGUGGAGCCUCUGCUGAAACUCGCGGGGAUAAAGACGGAUGUGACAAUAACAGAAUAUGAAGGGCAUGCCCUGUCCCUGCUUGACGGAUGUGAACUCCAGGGAUUUGAUGGCAUUGUCUGUGUUGGUGGAGAUGGAUCUGCUAGUGAAGCCGCCCAUGCCCUUCUCCUCAGAGCUCAGAAGGAUGCUGGUGUAGACUUGGACCACCUCCUGACUCCCAUGAGAGCUCAGCUUCCACUUGGCCUAAUACCAGCAGGAUCUACGAAUGUAUUGGCACAUUCUCUUUGUGGAAUUCCUCACGUGGUGACUUCAACUAUGCAUAUUAUCAUGGGUCACAUACAGUCAGUAGACGCCUGCAGCUUCAGCUCUGCUGGCAAGCUUCUUCGCUUUGGGUUCUCAGCCAUGUUCGGCUUUGGUGGAAGGACUUUGGCUCUUGCAGAGAAAUACCGAUGGAUGUCCCCUAGUCAGCGGAGAGACUUUGCUGUACUCAAAGCCUUGGCCAAACUUCAGCCAGAGGAUUGCAAAAUAUCAUUUUUACCAGCUGGAUGCUCUCGGGAUGAACAAGAAAGAGAUGCUCAGCAAUCUCCAGGGUCUGAAAGUGCUGGUCAAUGGCAAACCAUCCAAGGGCAGUUCUUGAACAUCAGCAUCAUGGCAAUCCCCUGUCUGUGUUCAGUGGCACCCAGGGGCUUUGCCCCCAACACCAGGUUAAACAAUGGAAGCAUGGCUCUCAUAGUUGUACGGAACACCACUCGACAAGAAUUUGUAAAGCACCUGAAAAGGUACUCCAGCAUAAAGAAUCAGUUCAACUUUCCUUUUGUGGAGACGUACACCAUUGAAGAAGUGAAAAUUCACCCAAAGAGUCAUAGCAAUGGACACAAUCAGGAGGAGGAGGGUGGGGACCAAGCAACUCUUCCAGAAAACACUUUUCCUUGGAAUGUAGAUGGUGACUUAAUGGAAGCUGCCUCCGAGGUCCACAUUAGGUAAGCCAGACUGCUUCACCGUCUCUGUGUGGCAUAGCAGCAGAUGUAACAGAAGACGGGGAUUCUUCCUCUUAACUGCCUAAAUAGCUUACAAACUAGAAAGUUAGCAAACUGUAAAAAGACAUGCAUACCCUUCGAUAAAUACAAAUAGGAGUAUUUUGUACCAGCAUCGCAAAUCAUUAUUUUGCAUGAGCUGUACAAAUAAUUUGCUUACAGUUUACAUUCCUUAACUUAGAGGGUAGUCUUAAGCUUUUUGAAAACAAUACCGUUCCAUAGUUUCUAGCCCCCUUCCCCAAAUUGGGCUGAAAUACUAUAAUACUGUUGAAUAUUGCUUUUUAAUCAAGUCCUUUUUAAAUUCAAGUCAGCAUAUGAAAUAAUGGGGGCUUUUGUCAAGUUUGGCAAAGCAUUAGCCUCCUUGUACAUAUUGACAAGAGGGAUGUGAUGGACAGGAAUACACACUCUAUCCUAGCAAGCCUUAUGGAUUUUUGCAGGCUGAUGUUGGGGGGCACCCCCAGAUGGGGUGUUCUCAAACAACUGGCUCUUCACAGAAAUGCUGGAGAAGACCAUGCAGGAAAGGUGAUCACCAAGGUUCUGGAACAGUCACAGAUGAUGAAGUUUUGGUCCUUCAGCUUGCUGGCUGUGGUCCUGCUUUGAAUACUGCACCCAAGACUGAUCAGGCUUUAUGGAGGAGGCCU